UUGAGCCGUAUGCGGGGAAACUCGCACGUGCGGUUCUUAGGGGAGGGGCAACCAGUAAUGGUUGUUCCUUACCCGAC
rfam:Vibrio coralliilyticus strain 58 chromosome I, complete sequence.